rnacentral:rRNA from 1 species
UACGUAGGGGGCGAGCGUUGUCCGGAAUCAUUGGGCGUAAAGCGCGUGUAGGCGGCCCGGUAAGUCCGCUGUGAAAGUCCAGGGCUCAACCCCUGGAUGCGGGUGGAUACUGCUGGGCUAGAGUCCGGAAGAGGCGAGUGGAAUUCCUGGUGUAGCGGUGAAAUGCGCAGAUAUCAGGAGGAACACCGAUGGCGAAGGCAGCUCGCUGGGACGGUACUGACGCUGAGGCGCGAAAGCGUGGGGAGCAAACAGG